ACUCCUACGGGAGGCAGCAGUAGGGAAUAUUGGACAAUGGGUGCGAGCCUGAUCCAGCCAUGCCGCGUGCAGGAAGACGGCCUUUUGGGUUGUAAACUGCUUUUGCCAGGGGAUAAAAAGUCCCUGCGGGGAAAAUGAAGGUACCUGGUGAAUAAGCCACGGCUAACUACGUGCCAGCAGCCGCGGUAAU
rnacentral:rRNA from 1 species